CAUUGAAACACCAAUUCCCAUACAACCACUGAAGUUAAGCAAUAUCGAGCCCAGUCAGUGUCUAGAUGGGUGACUGCUUGGGAAUACCAGGUGCCGUAA